rnacentral:rRNA from 1 species
GCAUGAAGCCCCCCUCAAGAUGAGAUUUCCCCAAUAGAUGCCUCAGAGACUAUGAGGUUGAUAGGUUCGGCGUGUAAGUGUGGCAACACAUUCAGCGGACGAAUACUAAUCCAUCGAAGACUUAUUCA